rnacentral:misc_RNA from 1 species
ACCCAAUUGUAUAAAGCUUGGUUAAAUUAACCCUGGGUUAAACUCUAACCUUUGGUUAUCUUUAACCAAAUCUGGUUAGCUAACCAGUUUGGUUAACCAAUUGUAUAAACCAAGAUAACCAAAUGGUUAGUUAACCAAAUUGGUUAAAAUUAACCACUGGUUAAUUUUAACCAAUCCGUCCCGUCAUGCGGUAUUUUGGUGGUUCCGGUGACGUUAUUUUCGCGGAAUUUGUCAAAGCAGAAGACAAAACAAAAACAUGGAACCUCCAGCCUCCAAGAAACCUAGAGUCAGGGCCAAAAACUUUUCUAUGUCGGAGGUGGAGGUGUUAAAGACCGCAGUUACAGAUAACUUCAGUACAAUUUCAGCAAAACACUGCAAUGGAACAGGUGGAAUCACAAAGAAAAUUCAAGACAAAGCCUGGGCGACCAUCUGUGAAAAGGUAAACAGUGUCGGGAAUGCGAAGCGGUCCGUCGCUGAAGUGAAGGAAAAGUGGCGUAACCUCACUAAAAAGGCAAAAACUGAGACCACCAUGCAGAAAGUGUCCAUGCAGAAAACCGGGGGUGGACCACCAGCACCACUGCCUGAUCCACUCCUGGAUGAUAUUGCUGGAUUGUUCUGUUCUUCAGCCUCCUUUCACGGGAUACCAGGAGCUACUGACUGUGAAACUGUCACGAUAAGUUUACGUCUAGAUGAAGAGGAUGCAUAUGCAGAUGAAAUUCCUAGUAUGGUUAUUAAUGCUGAAGAGUUGCAGAAAGUAGAUGAAAUAUCAUCAGCAGCAAAUUCAGCAGCACCAAUUCAAGGCAGCAGGGCUUCAGCAGCACCAUGUCCAAGCAGCAGUACUUCAGAUAGAGCCAUUGAAUAUUUCAGUAUCAUCAGCAGCAAAUUCAGCAGCACCAAUUCAAGGCAGCAGGGCUUCAGCAGCACCAUGUCCAAGAAGCAGUACUUCAGAUAGAGAGCCCCUUGUUUGUGACAAGUCUUCAAAACCUUAAAAUGAACUAGUCAACCAUUUCACAAAAAUGCCACAGAAAAGUCUUAAAGAGCUACAAAUGGAGUUCUACACAGUCUCUAUACAAAAUGAGAGGGAAAAGUUCAAAC